rnacentral:rRNA from 1 species
GACGAACGCUGGCGGCAUGCCUAAUACAUGCAAGUCGAACGCUGAAGCACUCUGCUUGCAGAGUGCGGAUGAGUGGCGAACGGGUGAGUAACACGUGGGAAAUCUGCCUAGGAGUGGGGGAUAACAUUCGGAACGGAUGCUAAUACCGCAUAUCUUUUUGAACCGCAUGGUUCUUAAACGAAAGACGGCUUCGGCUGUCGCUCUUAGAUGAUCCCGCGGCGUAUUAGUUAGUUGGUGGGGUAAAGGCCUACCAAGACCAUGAUACGUAGCCGACCUGAGAGGGUGAUCGGCCACACUGGGACUGAGACACGGCCCAGACUCCUACGGGAGGCAGCAGUAGGGAAUCUUCCACAAUGGGUGAAAACCUGAUGGAGCAAUGCCGCGUGAAUGAAGAAGGUCUUCGGGAUCGUAAAGUUCUGUUAUUAGAGAAGUAACAAGUCAAGGAGUAACUGUCUUGACUUUGACGGUACCUACAGAAGUCACGGCUUACUACGUGCCAG